rnacentral:misc_RNA from 1 species
AACGCAGUCAAUGCGACAGUAUACAGGAAUGUUAGCUAAUGCAAAUCCCCCUUCCUUCAUGAAGCAAGGCCGAAUCAAUCCAUGCACCCUAUCAACCACCUGACAGCAAGCUAUGAAGAAAACACCUCCAGUCAAAGCUAGCAGCCUAGGUUACCAUUCUGUUCAGUUGGGCGCAAAACACCCACAAUUCUGUGAACUACUAAUAGCCAGGAGAACUCCUACAUUUAUGGCUAAAGUGCUAAACUACGAUAAAAUUGAACUGAAUCCUCCACAACUGACAUCACACAAAUGAUGUUAGGGCAGUCACAAUGCUAGAACCCACACAGAGGAACUAUGUUCCCGAAUUCUCGAUGGACAAAAUAAUCUUUUUUCCAAUUACAUAUAUUAUUUCCGGCUUUCCGCUCAUCUACCAAUCACAUCUUAAUGUAUUGGUUCGUGUAGACAUAUUUUUUUAAUAAGAAAUCAUUUCUCCGUAUCUCUUAUUUACUUAAAGUGUCAUAUCAUCUUUUUGAUUAGUUGGUACCUUAAUUAAUGGGCAUAGAACCGGUUUCUGGUUGGGACUUGGGAGUGCCAGCAGCAGCGCUCACCUUUGACGGGGAUGAAAACGAGCCCGGAUGUAGCGGUGUCCAUGCCGGGGUUAUACUUGCGGAGCAGGUCCAACUGCGACGACGAGUUGAAGCUGUAGUUGGCGGCGACGGCGGCGAGGGUCUGGCCCAUGAGCGGGUAGGUGAGGAAGAACCCGUAGUCCGACGAGAUCUUCGGGUCCCCGCAGGUGCAGUUGACCGUGACGUUCACCACGGUGUUGGUGUCGGGGAUGUUGUUCGUGGGAUACGGGUUGGUGACGGCAAGCCAGGCGGCGGAGGUGAGGUUGUUGUAGUUCUGGGCGAUGCCGCCGUAGGUGUCGCCGGUGACAACCUUGUGCGGGAAGGAGCCGCCGAGGUAGGUGGCGUCCGAGUUGGGGAACGUGUGGCAGCCGCAGGUGAAGGAGAUGUUGACGCUCUGGCCGGCCUGGAUGUAGUCCAGGUUUGUGGUGCCGGGGUUGUAGCGCGCCAGCGCGUGGUAGUCGCCGAUGCCGAAGAGGCUGGCGAUGUAGGUGAGGUUCUGGUUCC